rnacentral:rRNA from 1 species
UACGUAGGCAGCGAGCGUUGUUCGGAGUUACUGGGCGUAAAGGGAGCGUAGGUGGUGGGGUAAGCCCCGCGGGAAAGCUCCAGGCUUAACCUGGAAAGGUCGCGGGGGGACUGCUCCGCUCGAGGACGGGAGAGGAGCGCGGAAUUCCCGGUGUAGCGGUGAAAUGCGUAGAGAUCGGGAAGAACAUCAGUGGCGAAGGCGGUCUGCUGGGCCGUUGCUGACGCUGAGGCGCGACAGCGUGGGGGAGCAAACAGG